rnacentral:sRNA from 1 species
UGCACCGCUCAUACCAUGCAAUAUUUUCAUCAGAUCACAAGAUGUCAUUAUCCAUGAUGUGAAAGGAAAUCUGGUUACCAGAUAGAUGCCUGUUAUUAUUGACAACUGAGGAGAAAGUUAUGUUUUGGUUGAUCCAGGGGUUGGGAGUGCACUCUGUGCUGCCAGCGCUGUUACAAUAGCUUCCGUAGCUACUGCUGAAGAUAGCUGAAGAUAGAUGUAAACUAAGAUUUUUCCACGAUUCACAACACUUUGGGUUUGAAUCAUCAAGUUAUCCCCACCUCUAUGUCCCAUGCCAGAUCCAUUGUCAAACAGAGUCAAUUACAAGCCUAGCAACCAUAUUCUUGAGCUAGAAGAUGCAUGAGAUAGUUAUAGAUGGAACUUUUGAUGGUCCAAUCCAGCCACCCAUCCGGGCC